UACAGGGGGUGCAAACGUUUGCGUCGAAUCAUUGGGCGUAAAGCGCACGUAGGCGGUCUGUUAUGUCGGAUGUGAAAGCCCUUGGCUUAACUGAGGAAGUGCAUCCGAAACUGGCAGGCUAGAGUACUAAAAGAGGGUCACGGAAUUCCCGGUGUAGAGGUGAAAUUCGUAGAUAUCGGGAGGAACACCGGUGGCGAAGGCGGCGCCUGGGUAGAUACUGACGCUGAGGUGCGAAAGCGUGGGGAGCAAACAGG
rnacentral:rRNA from 1 species